ensembl:lncRNA
ACAUCCCACAGAUCCCAGCAUGCCGUGCGGCUUCCUUUUUCUUGACCCUGAGUCUCAGGUUUUCUAGCUGAGGCUUAUUCACUCGUGUGCGCAAGCGGUUACCUUGGUUAACCUAUUUCCCAGAGCCAGGCUCCACGCUCACUCUUCCUCUGGCUGAUUCACCACGAAAAGGACAGAUAGCUCGGCUUUCUGCUAAGCGUUAUUUGUCUUCUCCAAACCUGUGGUAAACUUGCCGAUCGCGGACUGUGAGCCGAGCUACCCAAAAACGAGUUUAAUAAACGUUGUGGGUACCUACACGGUGCCACGCGCGUUCUAGAACGUCGAGGAUACAGUGAUGACUGACACACCAUCCCUGCUUUGGAGGAGCACACAGUGAGGCGAGAGGCAUCUUAACCACUGAGAUAACGUGGUCGGUGCUAUCGAAGGUAAACUUGGGAUAUAUGACUGGAGAUGAGUCUAGAAAGAAGAACCUGGCCUGGUUAGUCCUGCAGAGGGGUUUCCGCUUUCACACGCCCACCACCACCACCCCUAACAAUAGAAAGGAACCUGAGGACUCCUGGAUGGAUCUAAGUCCCCCUCCUCCAUCUAUUUCCCCGUAGUGAUUAACAGCGAAGAUCCUCCAUACAGAAAGUGGCACAAGCGAUGUCUGCAAUAAUUGAACACCACAACCAACCAACUGAAGAUUGCACUAAUGGUUCCUUUUGCAAAGCUGCUGGAAUUCCACUGUCUGAAGAGUAUGUCGUGGGAAAGCUACACUUCAGUGGCUGCCAGCCUGCUCAAAAUUCAAAAUCCCAGCUCAGUCAACUUAACCUGACAGUCUAUGGAGAUCAAAGUUCCCUCGUAACUCAGUAAUGGCCUCUGAGUGGUCACAGUUUACCUGUGAGAACUGAAAAAAAGAACUUGCAUUUUAGGGAUCCAUGCAUGCUCGUCGCCAGGCCAAGCUUUCAGAAUGACCCUCUAGGCAUUCUGCCUCAGCUGAAGCUGUUGUCUGCAGCCGGCUGCGGAAAGCGAGUUUUCACAGCAGCUGGCCACUGCGACUGAUCAUUCGUCUUCCUCAGAUCAAAGUCCCCUUUCCAGACACGCCUGAGCAGGUGUUCUGUCUGGAAUCAAGCAGAAAGCCUAUUCUG